AUGAAUAAACUUGGCUAAGUUGUUGCUGGCUCUUUGAGCAUGUGCACGCUUAGUCCAUCUUUAACCACCUGUGCACCUUCUGUAGGUCUGUGAACUCGAGGAAUAGUCAAUUGCUGAGCGAAAGCCAGCUUUGCUUCCUUGUUGUGACCAGAUCUAUGUCUUUAUAUACCCCAUAUGAAUGUAUUCGAAUGUCAUAAUUGGCUUAGUGCCUAUUAAAUCAAAUA
rnacentral:misc_RNA from 1 species